rfam:Triticum urartu cultivar G1812 contig1449611, whole genome shotgun sequence.
AAACUACUCCCUCCGUCCGAAAAUAUUUGUCAUCAAAAUGGAUAAAAGGAGAUGUAUCUAGAACUAAAAUACAUCUAGAUACAUCCCUUUUAUCCAUUUUAAUGACAAGUUAAUACAUCUAGAUACAUCCCCUUUUAUCCAUUUUGAUGACAAGUAUUUCCGGAUGAAGGAAGUACCUU